GCACGGGGCAGCCAGAGGGAGCGCGACCGCGAGCGCGCCGCGGCGCGGAAGCCCAACUCCAAGAACGGCGGCGACGGCCUCACCCCGGAGCAGCGCCGCGAGAGGGACAAGAAGGCGCUGGAGGAGAAGAACGCCAAGAAGGCGGCGCAGGCCUCCGGGAGCACCUCCACGGACGCCAAGGGCAAGGACGCCAAGAAGUAG
rnacentral:rRNA from 1 species